UUGACCUCGAAUCAGGUAGGAAUACCCGCUUAACUUAAGCAUAUCAAUAA
rnacentral:rRNA from 1 species